GUUAUUCAUUGCGUACAAUGGGAGGCAACUCUCAUUGUACAUAAUUGAUAACACCUUGUAAGAAUUGCUUCCCUUUGAUACUUCAUCCGGGUUUAUAUUACCAUGUGGUUUUAAGCAAAAGAGCAUGUUCCAGGCCACUUUUAUUAUGUAAUUGAUAUAAAACAUUUUUUUUUUCUUUUUCUUUUUAUUGUUAAUUUUUCUAAUUACUUUUAUUAUUACCC
rnacentral:lncRNA from 1 species